CUCAGCCAGCCUUUCUGAUCGUGUCAUCCCGUGGUCAGAGCAUCGCUGUUUGCCCAUAGGGUUUGGGCAGGGUUUGGUUUAAGCCCCAUGAGAUGGGGCUGAUGAUCACCUCCUCGUGUUUGCUUCCCUUGGGGAUGGCACGCAGCAGUUUCUCACUCUGCCUCCCCAGAGCUGCUCCUGUUUGUUGUUGUUUGGGAGACAGAAAUAGCCUUCUGCUAAGAGGAGGAUGAGGCUGAGCAUCCUGAGCUGUCAGGGUGAGUCAGCAGCCUGCAGUGAUGGAGCUGCCUGCAAGGAAACACCCUUGGAGGGCAGCCCAGUGAUGUCCACCUCAUCUCUGCCUGCACUGGGGACCUCUCUUCAGCAGGACAGCUUCCACAUGGGGAUGCUCUCAUUGCUUUUUAAGUGCCCUCUAUGAGCUUGGUGGCUGAAAACGCCACCAUCCCUGCCUUUCACCAGCAUGGGACAGCCUCCAACUGGAAAAGGAGGGGAGAGCUAACUGUCCUUAUGAUAAUGACAUUUAUCUGUCUGUCCCUCUUUCCUUCAUCCAGAUUUCAGAUCCAACAUGUAUCUUGAUGCUAUCUGCUUGGUGACUGGGGUGAAAUCACUGGUGGUCGGAUUCGUUGAGAAGGAAAAGGGAACUUCUCACUUUAUCUUCUUUCCUUACACUGAAUUUAAGCUCCUCUCUGGGGUGAAGAAGGUAGAGACUUAGCAUCUUGUGAGCUGUCAAGGAGGAAAAGCUGGGAAAAAAUGCCCCAGCAAUUAGCAUGUUACCAAUGCACACCUGAUUUUUAGUAAAAGCUGUCAAGUCUGCUUGCGAGUUCAUUCCCAAGUACUAUAUUUAGUGAUGUGUCUUGCAGUGACAUAUGUGGAGGAUGACGCAUGGAUCAAUCUCAUUCCUGCAUGGGAAACUUCCAGUCUGUGCUGCUUUCACUGACUGGAAUAAAUGAGCACCCUCCUGGUGAUGCCAUCGGGCCAUGUGAGCAGGAAAUAUGCAGGUUCUUGGGAGCUGUAGGAGUGCAGGAUUGUGUAACUCAUUGGCAAAGGCGUGUAUGACGACAAUGGCCUGCAAAAGCCAGAAGCUUCCAGAUUCUUUGGCCAGGCAGGACGUCCUGCUGAUGCUCUGAGGGUCCUGUGCUUGGAUGAGACUUUGCAUCCCAUCAGCCUGGAGGAUGAGAGAAUGCUCUUGAACCACUAUGGAUGAUAGUCUCCCCUGUAGCUGCUUCUCCAUACGAGCUCACAAAGAUGAAGCAUCAGCAGAGACAAUUCCUUAGCCAGGCUCUUCAGUGCCUUUGUCACAAAUCAAGUCAUUACAUGCUGCAUCCAAUGUGACUCUGGCAUCACUCACCAUGUUUACCUUCCAUCCAGCUCCCUGCUCCUGCAGCGCAGAUCCAGUCAUGCCAGCCAGCAAAUGCCAUCUGGAUGGUGUGGAAUGGACUUAUGUGCUAGCUAUGUUAGGUCACUUAAGUCUUUCCCAAGGAGUAUAAUUAGGGAUUCACACGCACCUUACACAUGUGGGGCUUGACAAGGCUUGUUGGGCUGUGACCCCCCCCCCAGUAGCACCAGUAAAGAGCUUGCACUGAAGCCUGCCCAGAGGGCUGGCCAAGUUCAUGGGCUGCAGGUACAUGGGUUUGCACAUAGCAGUGUGACAGCUACCCUGACCAUGCCACCCACUUACAACCCAUGCCUAUUUGCUCACCGCUUGCAUCUUGCAACCAACAGGGGCUUGGAGUGACCUGUGCUCUGCUAUGAAAUAUUAUUGGGGGGAAAUCCCCUUCUCUUUACCCAGGAGGCCAACUUCUCCAGACUGUGCUUUGGCAUCGUGCAUCCAGAGUCUGUGUCCUCGCAUCAAAAUACGCCAGCAUCAUCAGGGUACUUCAGUGCACAGAGGCUGCUGUCUAUGAGCUGUUCAUGCAGCUGUUUAUCCCAAGGAAGACACGCACAGCCUUCAGAAGGGGAGGAGGAUGCCUCCAGUUCAGCUCUUACGAGGGGAAAAAAUCCUGUAUUUCCUUUUAAUUGUUUUUUUUUAAACUCUGCCCUUCUAAAAAGGCUGGAAUAAAACCCAAGGCACAUGUAGGUACGAAACAGAGCAACCCACAUCAGCCAGGAGCUCGCUCUUCA